UAUCUCCCCCAAGAGUCCACAUCGACGGGGAGGUUUGGCACCUCGAUGUCGGCUCAUCACAUCCUGGGGCUGUAGUAGGUCCCAAGGGUUGGGCUGUUCGCCCAUUAAAGUGGUACGCGAGCUGGGUUCAGAACGUCGUGAGACAGUUCGGUCCCUAUCCGUCGCAGGCGUAGGAAAUUUGAGAAGACCUGUCCUUAGUACGAGAGGACCGGGAUGGACGUACCUCUGGUGUACCAGUUGUCCUGCCAAGGGCAUGGCUGGGUAGCUAUGUACGGAAUGGAUAAGCGCUGAAAGCAUCUAAGCGCGAAGCCAACUUCAAGAUAAGAUUUCCCACCGCAAGGGUAAGACCCCAGAAAGACUAUCUGGUUGAUAGGUCGAAGGUGUAAGUGCAGCAAUGUAUUUAGCUUAUCGAUACUAAUAGGUCGAGGACUUGACCAAU
rnacentral:rRNA from 1 species